rnacentral:misc_RNA from 1 species
UCUCCGUAGGUGAACCUGCGGAGGGAUCAUUACAGAGUUCAUGCCCUACCGGGUAGAUCUCCCACCCUAUGUUAUUAUUACUUUGUUGCUUUGGCGGGCCGUUAGGCUCCGGCCCGACUACCGGCCCCGGCUGGUAAGCGCCCGCCAGAGGACCCAAAACCCUGAAUAUUAGUGUCGUCUGAGUACUAUAUAAUGGUUAAAACUUUCAACAACGGAUCUCUUGGUUCUG